rnacentral:rRNA from 1 species
UAGGGAAUUUUCGUCAAUGGGGAGACCCUGAACGAGCAAUGCCGCGUGUGUGAAGAAGGUCUUCGGAUCGUAAAGCACUGUUGUAAGUGAAGAAUGCCAUAUAGAGGAAAUGCUAUGUGGGUGACGGUAGCUUACCAGAAAGCCACGGCUAACUACGUGCCAGCAGCCGCGGUAAUACGUAGGUGGCAAGCGUUAUCCGGAAUCAUUGGGCGUAAAGGGUGCGUAGGUGGCACGAUAAGUCUGAAGUAAAAGGCAACAGCUCAACUGUUGUAUGCUUUGGAAACUGUCGAGCUAGAGUGCAGAAGAGGGCGAUGGAAUUCCAUGUGUAGCGGUAAAAUGCGUAGAUAUAUGGAGGAACACCAGUGGCGAAGGCGGUCGCCUGGUCUGUAACUGACACUGAUGCACGAAAGCGUGGGGAGCAAAUAGGAUUAGAUACC